rnacentral:rRNA from 1 species
GACGAACGCUGGCGGCGUGCUUAACACAUGCAAGUCGAACGGAAAGGCCCGGCUCUUGUGCGUUUCUCGAUUGGCGAACGCGUGAGUAACACGUGAGUAACCUCCCCUUGACUUUGGGGUAACUUCACGGGACUCCGGCGAAUAUCGGAUAUGAUCUCCUGCUGCAUAGUGGUCGAUGGAAAAAUUCGGCUGUUGGGGAUGGACUCGCGGGUUAUCAGCUUGUUGGUGGGGUAGUGGCUUACCAAGGGUUUGACGGGUAGCCGGCCUGAGAGGGUUACCGGCCACAUGGGGACUGAGAUACGGCCCAGACUCCUACGGGAGGCAGCAGUGGGGAACAUUGCACAACGGGCGGAAGCCUGAUGCAGAAACGCCGCGUGCGGGAUGACGGCCUUCGGGUUGUAAACCGCUUUCGACUGUGACGAAGCGUGAGUGACGGUAAUGGGUAAAGAAGCAACGGCUAACUACGUG